CCGCGAGGGGUGAGGGGACAGGGGUCGGUGCUCACCCGGAGGGGCACGGCUGGGACGUGCUAGCACGGGGCAGGUAUCUGAGGUUGGCAGCUGGAGCCGGGGGACUCCUGGAGCAGUGGCUGCAGGGACAGGACUGAGGUGGGGACACUGCUGUGUCUUCCUUCAGUACACCAUGGAGCAUCACCCGAGGUCAUAUUUAUGCCUGUUUUCUAGAAACCAAGGAAAGGUCACUUGUCAAGGUCAUCUGGUGCCGAACGAGUCUCUCCAGUCCAAAUACAUUUUUAAUUCCGUCAUUCCCUGUAAAGCAAACAAGUGGGAAUUGUUGAUGUAAGAUAGAUGUUGGGGUCAUGCCAGCACUAUAAUUACCCAGUGACAGGGUGUUAGGAUUAGGGAUAUGGGAGAUGGCAGAAAGAGCUGGCAGCUGUGGAGGACAGGAGUGCAGCUGGGCCAGGCACUUUAGCAGUGGAUGAGGGGAAAAGCAGCAGUCAAGGUAAGGCAGUGCAGUGUAUGACACAAAGCAUGAUUGAUAUGUUCUUAGUUGUAGCACAGUAAAAUCUCAGGGCUGUCUUCAUUUUGUUUUCCUUUAUUUUUGACUGCAGUGUGAUUUGGGGAAGGGAGGUUGAUUUGUAACAGACUAGUUUUUUUCCAACAAUCCAGUGAGAAAACGACAGCAAAACUAGGCUGUAGCAUCUGUGUUUGAAACAGAGAAAUGAAAUCCAAGAUUAAAGUCUGAUUUUGUGAAGACAAAAACAAACAACGGAGAGGUGGAAUGUUUAGAAGUGUUUAUCCGUAGUUUUAAUUCUCCUGACAGGGGAAAAAAAAUCUGGCACGUCACUUCAUGGCUUUCAUCAGCUUAUGAGAUUGUACUACUCUGAUAAAUAUAAUCAUAAUUUGCUCUUACUAAUUAUUUUAAUGAGUGGAAAUUCUCUGUGGCUGUUGCUUACAGCAUACAAGGUGCCAUAACUAAUCAAAGGGAGGAGGAAAGGUAUAAAAAGAAGAUGGAGAAAGUGAGAAUAAAUUUAGGUCCAUUAGGAAUUACAUUUGAGGGAAUGAGUUGCAAAAGUAGAAAUAAUAAUUGAGAGCACUUUGGAACUGCAAAGUGUAAAAAGUGGGGACAAAGGGUACUACAGGUGUUGGAAUGAAAAGAAUGUUUCUGAGAGCAUUGGGUUCAUGUUUAAUGGAGAAAGGAGACUGGAAGUAAAAUUAGAGAUGAAAAAGAUCCAUUACCAUCUAUAGGGCCUAAGAGAAUCAAGUAAAAUAAUAAACUGAGCAGUGGAUACAUUUCUCUGAUGUUCUAAGUAUUUAUAAUAACAUAAUAAUAUAAUAUAACUGUGUCAUUUAAACUGUAAGCCACUGGCAUAUUAUGUUUUCCUGCACCCUUCUUCAUCCCCUGGAGAAAUCCCACUGGGACAGGCUCACGCAAUGGUACGUGCCUUUCCAGUUCUCUUUGGCACUGCCAAAUGGCUCAUGUAACAGCUGAGCUGUCCCCACUGCUCAUCCAGGACGUGAAUCUGACCCUUCCUUCUCUGCAGGAGUGCCAGCUCUCAGUGGAGCUGCGUGGGUGUAGUCAUCCCUCAGGCUUUUCAGCUCCUAUUUCAAAUUGCCUGAUGAGUUCAGAAGUUAUCAGGGGCAGAGUCAAAGGCUAAGAUGAAAAUACAGAAAGCAGUUGCAUUCUGAAAUGAGGAUACAAUUGUUGUAUGGGUAUUUUAUGAGGUGUCUGCUGCUUAUCAGAAAGUGUCCAUCCCAUUUCCAUCCACUGUGGAAAGCAACAUGUGGGUGAGGAGUUGAGUGUGAAGUGCUUGGCUGCUGUGCUGUGCUCGGAGGAGGAGGAGAAAGGGAGGAGGAGGAGGGAAGUGUCGGCUCCUGCUGCGUUUCUGCAGACGCUGUCACACAGCUGAAGCAGGCAAGCGCCUCGCAGCCAUGUUAGGUAAGGGCAGCAGGAGCCAACUGUGUCCCUCCUUUUUCUGGGCAGGAAGUCCAUGAAAAUGUUUUGAUAGCCAUGAUAGCUGAGGGCAGAAAGAGCCCGUUCCAUAGCCAUCUUGGAUAAGGGAAAGGGAGCUCUGUAGGGGACUGCCACUGUCACAUUUAUCCCCUAAAGAGCUGGUGUCUGUUUCAGGAGGAUGAAAUGCAGCUGACAUAGUUCAUGUGCAUACCUGAAAAACAUCUAGAUUUUGGCUUCUAAAACAUUUUGAACCAAGCUGUCAAAAGUAACGAAAUGUUUCAGAGAAGUUUUCUCCAGUGUUAAAAAAAUUGGUUCUAAUUAUCACCCCAGAUUUAGUGAAGAGGUUACAUAUUUUUAUUUUAGCGCUAUUAUUGUUCUUAAAUUCCAGACUUAUUUUCUGUUUGUGAUCUUUUAACUCUCUGACUGGUUAUGUAAAGAACAAUUGCAUUAUCUUUUGGCAUUAAUUUUGAAAGAAUAAGCAAUUCUACCAGUUCAAUCCUCUCUUGUCAGGUAGGUUCUCCAUUUAUUCAAUUUUCUUUCAGAUCCUUCCCUGCUCCUAUUUCUGGUUUGCAUUAAAAAAAGGAUACUUGUAUCCAGUAUACAAAUGAGUGUCUUACCAAGAUAACAUUGACAUUAAUGUUAUAUAUGUAGUGAGCAUAUACGCAAUGUACUAUUCAAUUUAGAUUAUGUAAUAAAUAUGAGUAUUUUAUACAAUGAUUUUAAAUAUGUUAUUUAUUAUGUGCUAUAUAUCCUAUCUGUUUAUAUAUACAAUGUACAUUGCAUAGUAUAUUGAUAACACAUGUAUUUGGUAUAUAUACAUAAGUAUAAUGUAACAUGCAUGCCAUUAAUACAUGUUGUGCUAAUAUAUAGCUAAUUUUACGUGCAGUGUUUUUUCAUUUCAAAGUAAAUCGGGCAAGUUGAAAUGGCCUUUUUACUGCUUUAUCAUUUUAGCAGACCAUAGUCAUCGUGUGACCAGCUCUUAUUUGCAUUUCUAAUAAUAUAUCAAUUUAACAGUCAAUAUUAAUAUUGACUUUUUAAAAUGUUUGAUGUUUUCUGUGGCUGUUUGAAAAAUGGAAAAGAUGCUUUAAAAAUAAUUAUGACUUUUUUGUGUGUGUGUGUUUAUUUGUUUUAACUGAAUGUAUUUAUUAGACCAAAUAUAAUUUUCAAAUACAAAUAAAAUACUGCUUUAAACUGAAAUCUCGAGGCGGGGGAUGGAGUGGAAGAUGAGAUGAGCAGAUGAUGUUUAUGCAGUUCUUUGGUGUUUCUCUGUGGAUGUGAGCAGUCUGCACAGUCACUCCCUGCUGAAGCUGAUGGAGCCUGGCCAGCCAGCAGCCAACACAGCAUUUGCUGCUACCUGAUAGAAACCAUCCUGCUGAGAGAUCACAGCUGUAGGAGCAAGAUAGAGCAUGGAAGAAAGCAAGGCAGGCUCAAACACUGAGCAGUUGUGGAUCUUUAGAACCCAGCUGUCCCACAUAGGCCUUUUCUCAUUUUUAUUCCAGCAACUGACAUCAAGGGCAUGCUUUUUCUAGCAGUGUCUCCUGUCCAAACCCUUCCAGAUAUUAACAGAUGGCUGUAUUUCUGCAAAACAAGGCAGAGUUCCUGGAGAUUCGUAAGGGCAUAUUCCAUAUGCAGAGCCCUAGUGUUUUAUGAGGCUUUAUUGCAAGUUGCAGCAAAAUGCUCUCAGUUAGUUGGUUCCCAGCUCUGAAGUCUGUUUUUUGUCCUGCAUUGAUGCUUCUCGAAGAAGAAACUCAGUUGUUUCUAAAUGUUACAAUACAUGCAGAAAUAUUUUUCUUUCUCAGCUGAAGGAGAUAAUCCCAUUUUAUCAAAACUAAAAUGUAUUUAAAAUGGCUAAGUGAAAAUCUUUCUGAAUCACUGUUUAUUGGGAAUAUCUCCAGUAGGUAAGAAUUCUUUCUUCUGUACUUCUUUUAUCAGGGAUCAUGUGUCUAUUCUCUUAAAUUUCUCCUGCCAAAAGAUUAUUUGUUAAGCAUCCAGUAGAAUUAAUUUACUGUUUUAUAAAAUGUAUCACUCUUA